AUUGUGUUUUAACAGUAAGUCUGCCUGUAAGAAUGUUAGACUAAUAAUAGACUAAUCUCUCAUAUUUUCUUUCUGUAAAUGUUUUUAUUUCAUAUGACGGAUUUUACCACACAUAUCACAGCUUCGAGUAUAGAGCACAUGCGAAAAGUGAUUGAGAGAUGCCAUGCUUGCAUAACAUCGCUACAUGUAAGGAUUAUCUUCAUCUGUUUGACACUUUGCCCAAGGGACUCCUAGCCACCAGAAAUAUAAAGGGAUAGAAUACACUAACAUCUUUUUAGGGAUACUGUACUAUUUUGCGAUUGAUUUUUUUUAAAGACAAACCUUAAAGGAACACACACUUGUGUAAGACUUGGACUGCUACUUUAUAUAUACUUUAAGGAAAGGAAAGUAUAUUGUAUGUAAAUUCAUUUUAUUAUUUAAAAUAUUCCUUUGCAUCAACAAACUGAAGCAAGGUCUGGUUUUUAGGAAACAUGGAAUAAAAAAUGAUGAAUGCCAAUUACAUUCUCAGAGAAAAUUGUGGUUUCUUCUUUUUUUUCCAUGUCUGUACAUACUAUAUAUACAGUACUGUGCAAAAUCUUUAGGCAGGUGUUAAGAAAUGCUGUAAAGUAAGAAUGCUUUUUUAUUUUCAUGAAAGUGUGCAAAUAGAAGAAAAAGCUAAAUCAAAUCAAUAUUUAGUGUGACUACACUUUCAAUUCUUACGCUUGCACAUUUUGAAAACUUGGUGGAAACCAGUGGGACCCAGGUAAAUACAUCUACUUAGCAGUAAAGCCUGUCCAGAAGUGGUCUUCAUGGAAGAAUUAGGGCCAGAAAGCCGUACCCUCAACAUGAAAACAAGGCUGAGGCUAACUCAUAUAUUCAUGAAAACACAGCAGCAGAUGUUCUGGACUGAUGAGUCAAAAUCUGGAAUAUUUGACUGUAGCAGGAGGCAGUUUGUUUGUUAAAGAGCUGGAAUUCAGUACAAUAAUGAAUAUCUUCAGACAACUAUGAAGCAUGGUGGAGGUUUCUUGAAAGUUUGGGGCUGCAUUUCUGCAAAUGGAGUUGCAGAUUUGGUCGGAAUUAAUGGUGUCCUCAAUGCUGAGAAAUACAGACAUACUUCAUCGUGCAAUACCAUUAGACAGGCAUCUGAUAAGCCCCAAAUUUAUUCUGCAGCAGGACAACAACCCCAAAAAUGCAAUGCCAUUAAGAACCAUCUUCAGUUUUGAGAAGCACAAGUAUUUCUGGAUGUGGCGUUUUGGCCACACAGAGAGCCCUGAUCUCAAAAUCAUCAACACUUCCCCAUGCAAAUUCUUUUUGGAUUCAGUUUGAUAAUAUUCUAUGACAGAAUGUUAAAGUUCUAUGCCCAGAUGUUUACUGGCUGGUUCACAGACAGUAUUUCUGCAGUUCUUUUUGACAAUUAAAUCACUGUGUGCAAUAUUUAUUCUGUACAACCAUUGUAAGUGUGACCAGUUGAAUGUUUUUAAAAUAAAGACAAAUAAUGGGUGAAUUUUGAAUCCGAAGACACGCCCACUGCUGUGGAGUUGCGCUUUGACAUUGAGCGCACCUGUGCCACGUAUUUAUUUCGGCGUGUUCGUGGCUUUAUAAAAAGCACAGUUGAGUGGGGCACUUUGAUUCCUUUCCUAUCUGUAGGCUGUGUGGCUAGAAUAGGUCUUUUUGCUUAUACGGGCCUGUUGCGGUACCCUGGACUGGUCCACUCGCUCCACUGCCCUUCAUACUCGUCUUUUGCUCGAAUCUGAAUCUCAUAGUUGGUGUAUGGCAGAGCGUCCAAAAUCAACCAAUCUCUUCUACCUGUUUCCACGUUCUGAGGACGAUAUCGAAGCUGAAACUGAAGGGUGUAGUAUUGCUCCCACAUCCAGGUCGCAGUUACAUCUCCCCUGCAGCCCAGGAUGACCUCCGACCCCACAUUCAAGGCCAGCGCUCCAGUAUUGGAUUCUAAAGGAAAACGAACAAAAAUUAGUCAACACUGAUAGAGCUGUUUAGAGCAUUGUUAAAGAAAGAAAUCUUCCAAUAAAGAUAACAUUCAUUCUAAAAAACA